GACGAACGCUGGCGGCGUGCUUAACACAUGCAAGUCGAACGGAAAGGCCCUGCUUUGGUGGGGUGCUCGAGUGGCGAACGGGUGAGUAACACGUGAGUAACCUGCCCUGGACUUUGGGAUAACUUCAGGAAACUGGGGCUAAUACCGGAUAGGAGCUCCUGCUGCAUGGUGGGGGUUGGAAAGUUUCGGCGGUUGGGGAUGGACUCGCGGCUUAUCAGCUUGUUGGUGGGGUAGUGGCUUACCAAGGCUUUGACGGGUAGCCGGCCUGAGAGGGUGACCGGCCACAUUGGGACUGAGAUAGGGCCCAGACUCCUACGGGAGGCAGCAGUGGGGAAUAUUGCACAAUGGGCGGAAGCCUGAUGCAGCAACGCCGCGUGCGGGAUGACGGCCUUCGGGUUGUAAACCGCUUUCGCCUGUGACGAAGCGUGAGUGACGGUAAUGGGUAAAGAAGCACCGGCUAACUACGUG
rnacentral:rRNA from 1 species